rnacentral:rRNA from 1 species
CGUAGGCGGCGCGGUAAGUCGGGUGUGAAAUCUCGGAGCUUAACUCCGAAACUGCAUUCGAUACUGCCGUGCUUGAGGACUGGAGAGGAGACUGGAAUUUACGGUGUAGCGGUGAAAUGCGUAGAUAUCGUAAGGAAGACCAGUGGCGAAGGCGGGUCUCUGGACAGUUCCUGACGCUGAGGCACGAAGGCCAGGGAGCAAACG